ensembl:lncRNA
AUAAAAUAGAAAGGUAUUAAUCUUAGUCUUCAUCUAUAUAUCUACCUACAUAUAUGUAUGUGUGAGUUUUGUAAAUUCACUGCUGUAAAUAUUGUGUGUGUGUUAUAAAUUUACCACUAAAAACAUUAAGCAUCAAUGGGGACAGUUGUCUGUAUCACUAGGUAAGAUCUAUCUGUUAAGGCAAAGGGCCUAGUGUGACUGGAAAUGGAGUGGAGUGGUCUCUCGGCAUACCAGAAGGAGAAGACUCCCAUGAUUUACAAAGGGUUCAAAACUGAGUCACUUUUGAUAACACAACCACAUUCAACUGAGUGGUUGAAGACUUCAAGUAUGCCACCCAAGAUUCAGCAGCUUCAAGGGCCAGUUCCACUUAGAAUGCCAAGAAGAAUGCCUCUGUAGUUUGCUUAUCUGCAUAGAGUCCAAAGGUCUGCCCUAAAUCAAAAGAAACAUCUUCCUUCUCAACCUGAAGAGAGCCAACUAAACGCUGGAAUUCAGACAUGAUGAGUGGAGUUGGAAAAGUCAUCUUGAACAAUGAGAUACAAGCUAUGUAUUGAGGAUAGCAGAGCAAGAGCUAGAGCCUGAGUCUCUUACAAUCAUGGAAUAACCACAAUGCUCUACAUCAUUUGCCCAGGCUUUUAGAGAAGAAAGAAAUUGCAUUUCUCUUUUGUUUGAGCUAUUGUUUUUAUUUAUUUUCUGUAACUUGUUGUUGAAUCUAAUACAUGCCAGAUCAGUCGGGUUGUUUUGAGGAUUAAAUGGGAUAGCAUAUGUCAAGUAUUUUGUACAGUACCUGGCAAAGGGGAAUGCAAGUAUUCAAUAUAUAUGACUGCUAUUAUUAUUAGGAUAAAUUGGCUUGUAAAAGAGUCACUCUAAGGGUCAAAUAAAAAAUACAAGUGAACAUGCUUUUUAAUCUGCAAAUCUAAUAAUUGCUGUAUAAAUGCUGGUCAUAAUUAUCAUUAUCAUUAUUAAAUUGUUACAAGAAAUUUGUUAACUGCCAGCAGACUCUACUUGGAGCAAUCUGUUUAGGCCAAUUAAAAAAUAGAUACAGACUUCUUUACUUUUGUUAGGUUUAUUUAGCUUUAGGCAACUGUGAAUGUUUAUAAGCUUGUCAUUAUAUUGAUGCUUUAAAACUUAGAUGAAAUACUCAUUUGGGUAGUAUAAAGAAAAUGCUUAGAAGCUGAUGAGACUGUGCCAUCUUUUAUUCGUUUACUUUUACCUUAAAAAAAUUCUACAUUACAAAAAUCAAUGUAGUGUUUGUAGUUAAAAUAAAUUGCAAUUAUAAAGACUUGAGUAAAGUAAAUGAGAAGAGUCCAUCCCUUCCUUCUCUUCUCUAUCUCAUUCUUUAGAAUUAACUGUAUUAACAAUUUAAUCAACACUUCUUGUAAGUAAAUAUCUAUUUUUUUGUACAAUGAUAUAGAUAUACAUUUUCUCUUUACAAAAAAGAAUGAUUUUGCAGGGAGUUCAAAAUAGCAGAAAAGAAACUCUUUUUGCAACAGCUUUUGGUCUGGUUUAGAUGGGCUUUCCAAUUUAAAAUAUCUCUUGAACAUCCUUCCGUGUCAGUACAUAUCCAUCUAUCUCAUUUUUAAACACCUUCUAGGAAGUUACUCAAGCAUUUUUACUAAUUAAUUGUUGUAAAAUUAUUUGUAAAACAAAGGAGAUUGCCCUUAACAUAAAACAAGAGUAGGUAGCAACUUUUUACCAUUGUGACGAUUAGACAAUUCAGCAAAGUGCUUAGCAAAAAGUCCAGCACAUAGUGAAUGAUUAAUAAAUAUAAAUAUUAGCUAUUAUGAUAUUGAUAAUAAUGAUAAUUAAAGUUGACCACCUCUCUGAGUUCGGUCUCAAUAAAUUGCUAUUAUCAGAGAAGUUUU